ensembl:lncRNA
CAAAACACAUGAGCGUAGACAAUAAUGAUACAAAAGCCUUAACAGCAUGGAAAAUGACCACACAAUCACUCCCCCUCCCUUUUUUUACAUUUACAGAAGGACAAAUAAGCAAGCUGUUGCCUGGCUGUGGCCAUGUCUUCAUGUCUAAUGGAAUCUUCUACCAAAUUCCCUUUAAUGCAAGGUCAGCUUUCAACAAGUGGUUUCUUGUCAGGAGCAACCAUGACACAAGCAGGCAGAAACACAACGCAGGCAUGAGACAUUUCAGGCAAGAGAGCCACAUCUGAGCAAAAUCUCUG